rnacentral:rRNA from 1 species
AUUGAACGCUGGCGGCAGGCCUAACACAUGCAAGUCGAGCGGAGCGGCGGACGGGUGAGUAAUACCUAGGAAUCUGCCUGGUAGUGGGGGAUAACGUCCGGAAACGGGCGCUAAUACCGCAUACUAUCAGAUGAGCCUAGGUCGGAUUAGCUAGGUGGUUGGGGACAGGCCUACCACGGCGACGAUCCGUAACUGGUCUGAGAGGAUGAUCAGUAACACUGGAACUGAGACACGGUCCAGACUCCGACGGGAGGCAGCAGUGGGGAAUAUUGCACAAGGGGCGCAAGCCUGAUGCAGCCAUGCCGCGUGUGUGAAGAAGGCCUUCGGGUUGUAAAGCACUUUCAGCGGGGAGGCGUUACCCGCAGAAGAAGCACCGGCUAACUCCGUGCCAGCAGCCGCGGUAAUUC